rnacentral:rRNA from 1 species
UAGAGUUUGAUCCUGGCUCAGGACGAACGCUGGCGGCGUGCCUAACACAUGCAAGUGGAGCGACGAACCAGGCUUCGGCCUGGGGCAAAGCCGCGAACGGGUGAGUAACACGUGGGUAACCUGCCCUGAUGAUUGGGACAACCCGAGGAAACUCGGGCUAAUACCGAAUGUGCCCUCCGGCCAUAAGGCCGCUGGGGAAAGGAAGCUUCGGCCUCCGCAUCGGGAUGGGCCCGCGGCCCAUUAGCUUGUUGGUGAGGUAACGGCUCACCAAGGCGACGAUGGGUAGCUGGUCUGAGAGGACGAUCAGCCACACUGGGACUGAGACACGGCCCAGACUCCUACGGGAGGCAGCAGUGGGGAAUCUUGCGCAAUGCGCGAAAGCGUGACGCAGCAACGCCGCGUGGGGGAAGAAGGCCUUCGGGUUGUAAACCCCUUUCAGUUGGGACGAAGCUUCCUCGGUGAAUAGCCGGCCGGAGUGACGGUACCUUCAGAAGAGGCCCCGGCUAACUACGUGCCAGCACCCGCGGUAAUACGUAGGGGGCAAGCGUUGUCCGGAAUCAUUGGGCGUAAAGAGCGUGUAGGUGGCUCGGUAACUCCGCUUGUAAAAUCCAGGGCUCAACCCUGAAAAGCCGGUGGAAACUGUCGAGCUCCAAUCCGGAAAAAGGCGAGUGGAAUUCCUGGGGUACCGGUUAAAUGCCCAAAUUUCGGAGGAACCCCAUUGCCAAAGGCCCCUCUCUUGGAACGUACUGAACCUGAAAACCCAAAACGUGGGGACCAAAAGGGUUUAAAUCCCCUGGUAGUCCCCCCUUUAAACGAUGGCCACAGGGGUCCGGGGAUUUCCCCCCUUGGGCCCCAGCAAACCAAUAA